rnacentral:rRNA from 1 species
GCGAAGGCAACAUUCUGCCCCAAUACUGACACUGAGGGACGAAAGCGUGGGGAUCAAACAGGAUUAGAUACCCUGGUAGUCCACGCUGUAAACGAUGAGUACUAGCUGUUGGAUUCGGUGUAAAGGAUCUAGUGGCGUAGCUAACGCGUUAAGUACUCCGCCUGGGGACUACGGCCGCAAGGCUAAAACUCAAAGGAAUUGACGGGGACCCGCACAAGCGGUGGAGCAUGUGGUUUAAUUCGAUGCAACGCGAAUAACCUUACCUGGUCUUGACAUCCUGCGAACUUUCUAGAGAUAGAUUGGUGCCUUCGGGAACGCAGUGACAGGUGCUGCACGGCUGUCGUCAGCUCGUGUUGUGAAAUGUUGGGUUAAGUCCCGCAACGAGCGCAACCCCUAUUGAUAGUUACCAUCAUUAAGUUGGGUACUCUAUUGAGACUGCCGCUGACAAGGCGGAGGAAGGUGGGGACGACGUCAAGUCAUCAUGGCCCUUACGACCAGGGCUACACACGUGCUACAAUGGGUAUUACAGAGGGCAGCGAAGUAACGAUAUGGAGCGAAACUCAGAAAGGUACUCUU